rnacentral:rRNA from 1 species
UGGGGAAUCUUGCGCAAUGCGCGAAAGCGUGACGCAGCAACGCCGCGUGAGGGAAGAAGGCCUUCGGGUUGUAAACCUCUUUCAGGAGGGACGAAGGUUCAGGGGCGAAUAGCCUCCUGGACUGACGGUACCUCCAGAAGAAGCUCCGGCUAACUACGUGCCAGCAGCCGCGGUAAUACGUAGGGAGCAAGCGUUGUCCGGAAUCAUUGGGCGUAAAGCGCGCGUAGGCGGCCCGGUAAGUCCGCUCUGAAAGUCAAAGGCUCAACCUUUGAAAGCGGGUGGAUACUGUCGGGCUAGAGUCCGGAAGAGGCGAGUGGAAUUCCUGGUGUAGCGGUGGAAUGCGCAGAUAUCAGGAGGAACACCAACGGCGAAGGCAGCUCGCUGGGACGGUACUGACGCUAAGGCGCGAAAGCGUGGGGAGCGAACAGG